AUGAGGAAGAACUCGGGUCGCUCCCAAGUCCAGCGGAAUCGUGGUCCCCGCUUUGUUUUCGAACAAGGUGAGAGCCGCAUGCCGCUGGAGGCAAAGGUGACUAACGUCGCCAACAAACCAGGUACCACCGCCUCCACGGUGGGCAUGAAGACGCUUUCCGGAGAGCCGGAGCACCUUCGCGUCUUCUGGGACAGUUCAUCACGGUGAGCUCCCCAGACAAGGAGGUGAGCUUCAUUGUCGGGC
rnacentral:misc_RNA from 1 species